GCGCCUGUGGCGGACCCGGCACGGACCAUCUUAUCGCUUCGCAGGCAGCAGGUCCGUGUACGGUCUGGUACUUUCCGUAAUUUUACGGAAUUUAAUGAUUCC
rnacentral:sRNA from 1 species